ACAUACGAUCAUAGACUGAGGAAAAUUCGGGUCCCCGUCCGCUCACCCCUAGACAAGCCUCAGAUCGGCCCAUUAGUACUAUGGUGGGUGACCACAUGGGAAUCCGGUGCUGUUGUAUGUU
rfam:Verruconis gallopava strain CBS 43764 unplaced genomic scaffold supercont1.2, whole genome shotgun sequence.